rnacentral:lncRNA from 1 species
UGAAAACAUUGACUCUGAAUUAUAUGCAACUAGGUUCGGACCCGCACGUACGUGCGGGAUUAAUUUUAAAAACUAAGUUUAUAAUAUAUUUCAUAUGUGCAGAGUCUUGUUUGUAAACAUAAUUUGUAGGAAUAUUAUUAACGUUCAUAAUCCAAAGUUCUAUUAGUUUAGUAUUCUUUUUUUAAAAAAAUUUAAAUAAAAAAAUUAUUGGAUUUGUUUUUGCUAUUAGUAAAGACAACUACAUAUAAAAAAAAUAAUAAUAAGAGAAAUGUGGUUUGUCUAUUUCAUAAUUGAAAAUUCAUCCCGUCUUCUCUCACAUAUGUCUUGUUUUU